rnacentral:rRNA from 1 species
GCGCAGCAGGCGCGAAACCUCCGCAAUGCGCGAAAGCGCGACGGGGCCACCCCGAGUGCCGCCCGCUGAGGGCGGCUUUUCCCCGGUGUAGACAGCCGGGGGAAUAAGGGGAGGGCAAGUCUGGUGUCAGCCGCCGCGGUAAUACCAGCUCCCCGAGUGGUGGGGACGAUUAUUGGGCCUAAAGCGUCCGUAGCCGGCCCGGCAAGUCUCCCGUUAAAUCCAGCGAUCUAAUCGCUGGACUGCGGGAGAUACUGUCGGGCUAGGGGGGCGGGAGAGGCCGGCGGUAUUCCCGGGGGUAGGGGUGAAAUCCUAUAAUCCCGGGAGGACCACCAGUGGCGAAGGCUGCCGGCUGGAACGCGCCCGACGGUGAGGGACGAAAGCCGGGGGAGCGAACCGGAUUAGAUACCCCCC